rnacentral:rRNA from 1 species
UACAGAGGUCUCAAGCGUUGUUCGGAUUCAUUGGGCGUAAAGGGCGCGUAGGCGGCGGGGUAAGUCGGGUGUGAAAUCUCAGAGCUCAACUCUGAAACUGCACUCGAUACUGCUCUGCUUGAGGACUGGAGAGGAGACUGGAAUUCACGGUGUAGCAGUGAAAUGCGUAGAUAUCGCGAGGAAGACCAGUGGCGAAGGCGGGUCUCUGGACAGUUCCUGACGCUGAGGCGCGAAGGCCAGGGGAGCAAACGGG